AAGUGACCAGGCGGGGUGAGGGACUGUGAGGGGACAGUCUGAACGGUGUGGGCCGGGAGCGGGAGGCUGGGCUGCCCCAGAGGCUGGAGGCGCGAAAGCCGCGUGUGCGCGCGGCCUGCUAACGGCCUCCGGCGCCCGCCGCUCCCGUCCCAUCUUGGCCGCGCCGCCGCGGCCGCUCGGACCUGGGCUUCAGACUGGGUCGCGCGGGGAUCCCCCGUAUUUUCCAAGAAGUGGAGGUAAAGGGCGGGCCAGGUUUUCCCACCCAGAGUCUUCGAGGCCGUAGAGGUGCAGCGCCAGGCUUACAAGCUACUCCCGGUGACUUACCGACUUUCAUUUUGAGUAGAACUUGUGCUCUAGUCUGGGUUGCGUUUCUGGCUCGUCUCAGCCUCAGGAACCGGCAAAUAUAACUAGGUCCACGCUCCCUGAGAAUGUGGGAGACAUAAAAAUACUAUUGCUUUUAUUGAGAUGUAAUUGGCGUACGACACUGUAUAACUUUAAGUUUCAUUGAGAUAUAAUUGACAUACAACACUGUAAGUUUAAGGUGUACAGGAUAAUGACUUACAUAAGCUGUGAAAUGAUUACCACAGUAAGUUUGUUAACAUCCAUCAUCUCAUAUGUAUACAAAAGAAAAGAAAAAAAUGGCUUUUUUCUCAUGAGAACUUUAAGGAUCUAGUCUCUUAGCAGUUUUCAAAUAUACCAUACAGCAGUAUUAACUAUAGCCAUCAUGUUGUACAUUACAUCUCCAAUACUUACUAUCUUAUAAUUGGAAGCUUGUGUUUUUUGAGCACUUUCAUCCAUGUAAGUUCUUGAUUUCAGUUUUGUGGCUUACAGUGACUUCAGGAUCUAUAUGCAUGGAUCAGAGGUUAAGCUGUAUAAUGGCUUAGAGAAUCAGAAAUGUCCAAGUGACAAUUUCUGUUACUGUGCUCUUUCAUAAAUGUUAAGGGUAUCAUUCAGGGAAAGCUGAAAUUGUUAUGCAAGCUUUUAACAGGAAUUGGUGCAGAUAGCAUCCAUAGUAGGUUUUCAGCAUCUAGAAAUUUCACCCUUUGGCUUAAUAAUAAUAAUAAACAUGUUUUUGAAGUGUUAAAAGUGAAAAUUUAU